rnacentral:lncRNA from 1 species
AACAAAGCAAGCAAGCCAAUCAAAGUUUUACUCUACAAGCAUUAGGAAAUUAGCUGUAAAUAUCUGCUGUAUUGACGCAAUGAGGAACUAGAGCGGUAACAUGUGAGUACACUAGCCGACCUAUUUUUUCCGCCUUUUACUUCCUACUUAGAUGAUUAUGUUAUUAUAUAUAUAUCCGUCCACUUUGAAUGCCAUUAAAGUACCGGACACGCGUAUUAAUCGCUUUAAAUCAUCUGCAUCUGACAUCGCCGGGCGAGGAUAGAAAGAUGUGAGUUCUAAUAAUUUUGCAUUUUCAUUUAUUUUCAUUCUUUUUAGUUUAAUUUAAAUAAAUUUCUUUCGGCAUAAACACUAAUUGUAUAAGACACAGGUCAAACAGAAUUAUGAAGUCUUCUCAAUUUAACAUUUUUUUAAUUCGUUCUUGUAAAAGUUUUAUAUCAAUCUUAAUAUAUGUUUCAAGAAAACGUAACAAAUAUUCAGAAAAUGUAUUUUUCAUAUUUUAGAAAAUAGUCCAGUACUGCAAGGAUUUUACAUAAAUCUCUUCGAUGAAGUAUGUUAAAGGGCAAAGUUGUUAUAUUUGACGGUUUUGUUCUAUUAACGCACUUUUAAAUUUUAGACUCUGCUUUUUUCUCCACUUUUGGCCUUUCUCAGAACAUUUGCCUGCAGUGUACCCGUUGGAAUAUACAUCUGUACUGUCUUAUAAUAAUAGUAAUGAAGAUUUUGACGAUGCAAAAAAAAAGUAAAAUCUGUAAUGUCAUAUAUUUUAAGUAUGAAAUUCAAUGUGAUUUUUGACAUGUUUUUAACGAGAGUUAAACACGUAACAAUUAAUGUGUUAGUUUCUAUUUACUGGAAAAAAACCAAGUCUUACUAAUAACAAGAAUAUUCAUAGAAAUAAUGCACUAAAACGAUUUACAUGUAUGUUCUGAUUUAGUCAGUCAUUAAAAGGGGAAUAAUGCAACACAGGACAAAAACACCAAAAGAACGAAAGAUCAUAUGUAAAAGACCGUAUCUUUAACUAUAAUGGUUUACUUUUAUAAAUUGUGACUUGGAUGGAGAGUUGUCUCAUUGACACUCAUACCACAUCUACUUAUAUCUAUUAAAAAGGACAACCGACAAAAAGAGAGAAAAAUGUAUUUAAAACUAAAUGCUGCAUUUAAUAUAUUAUAAAAUGUUAUAUUUCAUACUUUAAAGUGAUAGAUUGAAAAAAAUCUAUGUUCACAUGUUAUCUUACAAUCUAAGUUUAACAUGUAUAAGUGUAUAGAUAUUAUAAUAUACUAAUUUUUCUAUAAAUAGACAAAUAAAUUAAAACAACUAAUUUCCGCAAAAUCUGAAAAAUGAUUUAUACUUCAUAAUGACAGGAAGUAGACCAAAUUAAAUCUACAAUCGAUGUUCUCUUCUGAUUGAUAAGUACUGACCCCAUUUCAAGUUUUAAUUUAAAUUAAUUCAAGGCCGAUUGAAAAAAUUAUCCUACCAAAACGGCAAAAUAAUCUUCUUUCCGCAUGCAAUCCCCUCCCCACCAAAAAAGGAAAUUAAAAGCUUAAUGUGUCUGAGGAUACGAAUGUCCCCUCUCAAGCUUUGCAAUUUACCAAGGUAAAAGGGCCAUAACUCUAAAACGGCAAACGGCUCUCUGAUUGUAUUAGAACUCUGACUGCGCAAUAAGGUUUUAGAAUUGUAUGUGAGUUUCAUAACAUGUGGCUCUCUGAUUGUAUUAGAACUCUGACUGCGCAAUAAGGUUUUAGAAUUGUAUGUGAGUUUCAUAACAUGCUAGAAUGAGACAAACUUAACUUUUAUCUCAGAUCGGCUAUUUUAAUAUUAAAACUAAGUAAAAAUAAAAACUUCCUUGAUGUUAAGAUUACAUAUUAACUAAUAUGACUUGAAGCUGUUUCAGUAUUCAUGCAAAGUAAAACUUCCUGAUCAAGUUAAAGUGGUAUUUGCAUAAAAAAAUCUUUUGAAAGUUAGCAAUCAACCACUAAAAGUCUAUAUUUCCUGUACGUUUUUAAAAAUUAACUAAACUUGAAUUAACCCAGUUUCUUUGAUUGCCGACUUAAAUAUUUCGUAGGAUGUUGGCAAUUUUUAAUUUAAGUUUAGGAAAUUUUAGAGAAUGGAUGAUGGGAAUACUCACAGAAGAUAAGGGAGCUACCAUUUGAUUUUUAUGGGGGGGCUAGGAUGAAAAAUUUUGUCCUGCAUUUUUUUUUUAGCUGUAAUCUCUGUCCUGCCUUUUUAUUUUUCCCUGUGUUCGGUCCUGCCUUGUUUUUUUAGUUUAUCCUGACUUUUUUUUUACCUAAAUUGUCGUCCUUACUUUUUUUUUGCAAGUGUCUCAUCCUGCCUUUUUUUUUUACUCAAAACUCCUGUCCUGCCUAUUUUUUUCAAAUUUCAUCCUAGCCCCCCCAUAAAAAUCAAAUGGUAGCUCCCUAACAUAAAAAUAAAAGAAUGGCAAAACUUACCGUUUCCUUUAUACAGAUCCAUUCACAUCUUAACCCUUUUCUCUUUUUUAUGCUAUAGAAAUAUUUAGAGCAUAAUCCCCCUGUUCCCUCACUGGAGUAAUUUUGACUUUCAACCCUCAUCAAAUGUGUUAUAGUGUUGCUACCCUUGUUUUUUUUUACUUUUUCAUGUAUUCUGAAUCCUCUAGGCUUAUAAAUAAAGUACAAAAACACGACUUCUCCUACACCCCUUUUCAUAGUUUAAUAACAUAUAGUUUUAAAAAGACAUUUUUAAAUAUUUUAUAUAAUCCUAGUUAUUUUUUCAUUCACACAUCACAUAAAAGAAUAAUUAAAUAUUUGCGAUGCAUUUAUUUUUAUCAUUUCAUUUCAUCUUUGCAGAAAACACUCAAAAUGAAUAAUCAUUUUCUGACAGCUUUAUACCUGGUGUUUACCUUCGUGGUGUUAGGUAAGUCUAUUUAAAUAUUUAUGAUUCCUUUUCCUUUAAUAAUUAUCGCAAAAUGGUUUGAUAUUGACUGUCAUGAAAUAAACUGAUGAUGUACAUUUUGUAGUAAUGUCAAACCAAAGAACAGAAUAUAGAUAGAAAUCUUGAUUUAAUGGUAAAUUGGUCAUGGAACAAUAUUUAAGGAAUGACUGUAAUAUUUUUUCUGUCUAUGAAGAAAUGACAUAACAAAUAUUGUGCACACUGAAUAACGCGGGUAGCGGGUUAUUUAACAGUGUGCACCACAUUUUUUAUGUUAUUUCGAAUAGACAGAAAAAAUAUUACAGUCAUUCCUUAAGGUGGUACCUAACACUACGGGGAGAUAACUCUGUAAUAUCAGCUAAACGUUUUAAAUACGUUGCGUUGUGAAGGCAAUAUAAAGCUUCUCAAUGAUCAAAAUUAGUGUUUGUCAAACGGCUAUAUAACCAGUGUAAUUUUUCUGUUAAAAUGGUUGGUUCAAAGUUUUUGAUUUUUUUAUAUGUUUGUCAAAGGGUCAAACUAAAUACUUUGUCAAACUUUUAUGAAAAUUAAAUCAGCCAAACUAAUUUUAGUGAAAGUGUUAGGUACCACCUUAAAUAUUGUUCCAACGCGUUAUUUUGCAAAGGUUUGCGUUGUAACGCAAAGAUUUGAAUUAUAGCGCAAAGGUUUGCGUUAUUUCGCAAAUGUUUGCCUUAUAAGUUAUAACGCAAACAGGAAGAAAUAUUAAAAAAAGUUGUGUGGCGCUAAUAAGCUUCCGUACAGUUAUAUAUGUUGUAAUGUAUUACAAAAAACGCUCGAGGUAACCCGGCUGGCCAUAAUUACUCAUCUAUAAAAUUUUUAAAAAAAUGAACUUUUAGUACAAAGCUUCGAUUUCAGGAUACAAAGUUAUGUUGUAACUAUUGCAUUCAGUUUUAUAAUAAAUAACACAAAAGGGAACUUGGUGGAGUACGUGAAAUCUUAAUAUGGUAUGGCCUCUUAAAUUACACACACGUUUAUAUAUAUAGCCCAGGUGGUCUAGCGGGACGGCUGCAGUGCAGGCGUUUUGGUGUCACGAUAUCACAGUAGCAUGGGUUCGAAUCCCGGCGAGGGAAGAACCAAACAUUUGCGAAAGCAAGAUGACGACGACGCUAUAGUUGCUGUCUACAUUUAUAAAAUGUAAAGAUACUCGUCACCGAAAUUAUCACCAAAAUUUGUUCAGAAACAUUAUAUAAACCAGCAUUAUAUCGAGCCUAAUAUAUAAAUGAUAAUAUAUAUACAUUUAAUCUAUGCACUUGGUGCGUUAAAUCUUAUUUAAUGGUAUUAUGAUAUUUUCUCUUUUUUCCAGGUUGCGCAGCACAAAAUGAUACAGAAACUACAACAACACCAAACGCCGCAGUAACGCAGUGUAUAAGCAGUGUUAUUCUUUCUGCAUGUGUCCUAAUAGCCUAUAAACUGAUGUAAAACCAGCCUUUGAGUAAUGAAAUGUCUUGUUUUAAAGAUGAUGAUGCUCUAUUCAUAUUUAGUACAAUGUAUCCGUAUGCAUUUGAGAAAUGUGUGACAUUUAACUAACUGUUAUGAAAUGGAGAUUAAAUUUGAUUAAUUCUAUCCGAUAUUUUUUCAAUCCUGUAUUUAUUGUUACUAAAAAGAACAUCGGUAGUAUAUAACUCAAAAGAUAUUUUUCUUAAUAUUCCACACACCAUGCAACAAUCACAGAUUUGAUAAAAAUUAAAAUACAAACAAUCGUAAAAGGUGGAGGGGAGUCCAACCAAAGAACCUCUCCGAAGUUAUCACAUUCAAGGUCUCUCAGAAUACUGUAGCAAUACUUGACCACCGUUACUAAUUCUUUCACGAUAUACAUUUACUGGUGGACAGCAGGGGCCAAUGUUGACGAGUGGUCUAAAUACUAAAAUCACUGUAUCACUAGCAAGUAAACACUAAUGUUCUGAUUUCGAAUCCCGCACCUUGUAGGUGCAUUCGACUCCAACCUCACUUGACUGGGAUUUUCAGUUGCCAACCUAAGGUCUGUGGUCCUCUGCGGAUACUCCAGUUUCCUUCACUAAUAUAAACUGAUCGCCAUGAAAUAGCAUAAUACUGUUGAAAGUACCAUUAAAACGUCAAUCAAUGGUGACAGCAUUGUCUAAUCAAUAUUUGUCCUUUAUUUCUCCCAAGACUUCUUUCUGUUCGAAAUAAAUGUUUUUACUCCUUAGUGAGUAAUGACAAACAUACUUGUACUAGUAUAUAUAGAUUAGUUACCGUUAGGAUUUUAUUCAUGAUAAAUUACACAAAUCACAUGUUUAACACACUCACACCAGGACUUAUUUUGUCAUUUUCAUAUCAAGAGUUGAACAAUUGAUGCAAACUGCUAAGUGAAUUUGAGAAUGGAAAUGAGAAAUGCGUCAAAGAGACCACGACCUGACCAAAGACAAAAAACAGCUGAAGGCCCCCAAUAGGAAUUCUUUAAAAUUCACCAAUAUAACCAAAGGAAAUAUAUAGACAUUUAAUAUGUGUUGUUUUUUCGUGUAUCGAGAUACUAUAAAGAAAUAUCCCGCCAAACGUCUUGUGUAGUAGACACAAAACACUGCCAGUGGGACUACUCGAUUUCUUAAAACCUAACUUAUAUCGAAAAGAAAUGGAUUUAUGGAAUGUUUUGAUAAUUAAAAUAUUUGUUUUGAUUUGAUUUGCUUUUUGGUGUUUUAA